AAACACCAGUCCCAAGGUUCCUGUAGGCAGGCACAGCUAAGCAAGACAGAUCACCACACCUUAGGGAGAGAGGAAGCACCCAGGGCAGAGCUUAAAUACAGCUCCCAGCCCAUGGCUGUGGGUAGAGGUCUCAGAUGAGCCUGGCUGGGAUUAUUAAGGCUGACUGAUGCACUCACCAUCCUGACAGGUGCAGAAGGACAAGCCCUCGUACUUGCUUCUCCGACUGUAAGAAUCAGAAAGCCAGAGAGUUUUCAAAUCCUCAUGUUCCUGAAGUACCAUAAAUCUUGUUGAUAUUCUGAUUUUGACCCUGCUGAACAAAAGGAAGGAUAAACAUUUCCAGUUCUUUUCCAUUUAGUCAUUACUCCUUUCCUUUACUCCAUCUUAUAUGUGAGUUGUAAAAAAAGAAAGCAGUAUAGAUGACUUUCAAUUGCAAAUCAUGUGACAAACAGUCAUAUAUAGUGAUCUAUAUCCCAUUUAAAGUCUUCUGCUUCAAUUUUCAGCUAAUAACAAGAGAAUACUGAUUAGAGUCAGGUUCCUGUCACACUCCAUGUUCUGCACCGAAUAGCAGAAAACAACAUACCAAAAUACAGCUGGCGAGUAAAAGCACUGGACUGUCUCUGUAAACUAAAGAGAUGAGCAAUUUUGCAUACAUAUACAAGAUAGAACCUGGAUAUUACAGUCCUUUUAUGUUAGGUACACUGAGAGGCAGGAUCGAGUCCUAUCCUUAGAAUCAUCCUUUGACUGAACACCACCAUGUCAACUAAACCAAGCAAAAGGUGCCAUGUCUGGCUGUUUAUUGAAUACUGAUAGUCAUGGUGACUC